rnacentral:rRNA from 1 species
CCUACGGGCGGCAGCAGUGAGGAAUAUUGGUCAAUGGCCGGAAGGCUGAACCAGCCAAGCCGCGUGAAGGACGAAGGUGCCAAGCAUUGUAAACUUCUUUUGUCAAGGGACAAAAUCAGGCUCGAGAGCCUGACCGAGGGUACUUGAAGAAAAAGCAUCGGCUAACUCCGUGCCAGCAGCCGCGGUAAUACGGAGGAUGCGAGCGUUAUCCGGAUUUAUUGGGUUUAAAGGGUGCGUAGGCGGACUGUUAAGUCAGCGGUAAAAGCCCGGGGCUCAACCCCGGCGAGCCGUUGAAACUGGCUGUCGUGAGAUGGCGAGAGGGAUGCGGAAUGAGCAGUGGAGCGGUGAAAUGGUUAGAUAUUGCGCAGAAAUCCGAUUGCGAAGGCAGCAUACCGGCGGCGAUCUGACGCUGAGGCACGAAAGCGUGGGUAUCGAACAGGAUUAGAUACCCCGGUAGUC